AAAGAAUGGUAGAUAAUGGUUCAGUACCUCCCAGCAAUAGGUAACUCGGAGGAGGAUCCCCCGUCUGCAGCCACGGGGCCGAAGGCAGGAGAGCCAGACCCUCUGCAAUCACCUGCCCUGCAUCUGCCCUGUUCCAGCCUCCUGCCUCUGCAGACACAGCUGACCACCAGAACCCAAACGGUGAGCGAGGAGCUGCCCCUCCAGCCGCUCCCACCCGAGACCAGCGCGGCCGCUGCCGCCCCCUCUCCCGCCCCCUCUCUGUAGCUGCCGGGCUUUGCCCGUCUGCAGCACCGGGACCGAGGGCAGAGAGAGUGUGCCUGCAGCUAAAGAAAGGACUGGAACCGAGUUAUCUGUUCUGUUUUGUUGGUAAUUUUAACAACUGCUGUUGUUUCUGCUUGUACGGUUAGAUAUAUUAGUAAAAGAGCUGUUAUUCCUACCCCCUUA